rnacentral:other from 1 species
AAUCUCCUGAGAUGUUCGACACUCCUGUAAUUUUGAACCUACAUGAUCAAAAAGGGUUUCCUAAUCUAUGAGUGGAUGUCAGGCCGCCAUUUGCAGCGGAAGGCAGAGACUCAUAUGCGGUUACCCACCUAGCUUUGCUAGGAGUCAAAAUGCAGGAACCGGCAUUUUGGGGCAUUA